rnacentral:rRNA from 1 species
UACGAAGGGGGCUAGCGUUGUUCGGAAUUACUGGGCGUAAAGCGCACGUAGGCGGAUAUUUAAGUCGGGGGGUGAAAGCCCGGAGCUCAACUCCGGAGCUGCCAUUGAAACUGUUUAGCUUGAGGACGAGAGAGGUGAGUGGAAUUCCCAGUGUAGAGGUGAAAUUCGUAGAUAUUGGGAAGAACACCAGUGGCGAAGGCGGCUCACUGGACGACUGUUGACGCUGAGGUACGAAAGCGUGGGGAGCGAACAGG